GACGGAGGGGGCGAGCGUUGUUCGGAAUUACUGGGCGUAAAGCGUACGUAGGCGGUUCGCUAAGAGCGGAGUGAAAGCCCCCGGCUCAACUGGGGAAGGGCUUGGCAGACUGGCGAGCUGGAGUGCCGGAGGGGGAUGCGGAAUUCCUGGUGGAGCGGUGAAAUGCGUAGAGAUCAGGAAGAACGCCGGUGGCGCAGGUGGCAUCCUGGACGGACACUGACGCUGAGGUACGACAGCGUGGGGAGCGAACAGG
rnacentral:rRNA from 1 species